UGGGGGAUAUUGCACAAUGGGCGAAAGCCUGAUGCAGCGACGCCGCGUGGGGGAUGAAGGCUUUCGGGUUGUAAACCUCUUUCGCUAUCGAACAAGGCCCGCUUAGGGUGGGUUGAGGGUAGGUGGAGAAGAAGCGCCGGCUAACUACGUGCCAGCAGCCGCGGUAAUACGUAGGGCGCGAGCGUUGUCCGGAAUUAUUGGGCGUAAAGGGCUUGUAGGCGGCUUGUUGCGCCUGCUGUGAAAACGCGGGGCUUAACUUCGCGCGUGCAGUGGGUACGGGCAGGCUUGAGUGUGGUAGGGGUGACUGGAAUUCCAGGUGUAGCGGUGGAAUGCGGAGAUAUCUGGAGGAACACCGAUGGGGAAGGCAGGUCACUGGGCCAUUACUGACGCUGAGGAGCGAAAGCAUGGGUAGCGAACAGG
rnacentral:rRNA from 1 species